AAAAUUAGACAAAAAAAAAAUAUUCUUGAUAACCCUUCUUCUCUUUCAUUAAACUCCAAAACUCCUCUGUAUUAGCUACUCACCAGGACCGAAUCUCUUCCAGAAUCAAAACUACUGAAGUCUUCUUUACGGUCUGAAACACGAGUUCAUCAGACAAAUCAGCCAUCUCAGCGUCCGGACUCUUCCUCUCCAUCUAACCUUCUUCACUGUUACCUCUCCUUUCUUUAUUCACCAAUCCUUCUACCUCGUGCGGGACCUUCUCUAUCCAGUAUAAGGGGUUUUCAUACCGAAGACCUUCCAUCGCCAUCCCAUGAGCCGCCUUAUUUGCUUCCCUUGGUAUGUGGUUAAAAAUCGGUCUUCAUAAAAUGGGGACUCUUCCCUUAAUUUCUCUAAUCAGGCUGUUGAUUUCAGAUCUAUCUUCUCCUGUAGAAUUUAUCUUGCGAAUUAUUGUGAGCACAUCUCUUUCAAUACAAAUAUCAUCAAAACCCAUUUCCUCAGCCAUAGUAAUGGCUUGCAAACAAGCCCUAGCCUCGGCCAUGGCCGAAUCUGCGAUAUUCUCCCAAGGAAAGGUACAUGCUGCCAUCACCAAUCCUGAACAAGAUCUUUUUGUAUGAUAGUUGAACGAAGCGUCGAAAUUAAUUUUUAUAAUAUCAUUCUCCGGUGGUUUCCAUUCUGAACUGUCUGCUACUUGUAUUUGCCUCAAUAUAAACCCCAGAGUGGCUAUCUCUACGCAGUAAGCUUUAACAAAUCUGACAAUUUCAUUCACUUGUUCACAAACUCCUUCAUGGUAAAUUUUGUUACGGUUGUACCAAAUAACCCAAUAGACAAUAGCUCUAAUUUUGCAUUCUUCAAUACUCAGAUUAUCGAUCUCUAUUGCUAACCAUUUUUUCCAAUUGGAUUCUGCAUUCUAUGAUAAAAUUUUCGCCCCCAACCCCCUCAAAACCUGCUGCGUGAAGGAGCAGCCUCUGAACAAGUGGCUAACGGUUUCCUCCUCUGCUUGACAAACCGGACAGAGUGUGUUGGUUAUCAAUUUUCGUAUCCGUAGAUUGUACAAAGUAGGAAUGUAAUUAUUAGAUAUUCUCCACAAGUGUAUUCUUAUUUUACUUGGUAACCAUAGUCCCCAAAGUUUUGUAAAGAAAGUAGUUGUAUAAUUAGUCUGAGAACUAAACCCCUCUGCUGUAAUUUGCCAUUUGUAUCCACUCUUCACUGUAUACACCCCUGUAUUGUCCCCUCUCCAAAUCAAGAGAUCCUGUGGUUCACUCCUCACCAAUGGGAUCAACAUAAUGUUUGCAAGAUACUCUUCUCCGAAUAAUUCAUGAAUUGUGUCUUACUUCCAGGUAGUAGUUUCUUUAUCGAUUAAAUCUGCUACUUUAGUGUAUCUAAUAUCAAUAUUCAGACCAUGUACUCUCCCAUCUCUAGGCCCCGGUAGCCAUGCAUUGUUCCAUAUGUUAACUGUUUCCCCAUUUUCGAUUCGUCAGCUGAGCCUCUCCUUCAGUAUUUGACGAGCUCCCCAAAUACUUCACCAUGUAUAUGAAGGGUAAGAGCCUAACCCUGCACUCAUAAAAUCCCCUUUUGGAAUGUAUUUCGGUUUCAUAACUCGGGCAAACAAACAAUUCCACUGCGUAAUAAUUUUCCACCCCUGUUUCGCUAAUAAUGCCAAAUUGAAUUUUGAUAAAUCUUUAAAAUCCAUGCCCCCCUUCGCUUUAGUGAUACACAUAUCUUGCCACUUACACCAAUGUAUACCUUUGUUUGUCUUAG
rnacentral:lncRNA from 1 species